rnacentral:lncRNA from 1 species
GGAUUUCCUCUGUGCAGCUUUCAAGCGGUAGACUCACCCUGCCAGGCAGACCUAGAUUGGCAUAACCAGAGAUUAAUUCCAGUUGUGAUGCAGUGGGUGUUUACACACUUCUGAUGACACCUUUAUUUUAAAAGCAGAUGUUCCAAGAUUUUUAGGGCAGUUUUUAGUGUCAUUAUGUUGCUGCUACAUAUUUGGAAGAUGGAACAAGCCCAGACAAAGGAUGAUUCUUUUUUACUCAUCUUAAACCCAUUUUUUUUUCCUUCAUCUGAGCCGCUUAAAACUAAUGUGUUACUGGAAUGGAUUUUCUUCCGUGUCGCUGACACGAACAGGAGACAGAAAUACUGAGUAGAAGAGGGCGGUUCCCUGGCUAAGGCCCCACCCUCAAGCCUGGAUACCCGCGGCCCUAAAUGAGAAGAGGCAUUUCUGUUUGGGGCCCAAAAAGUUGCCUUUUGACCCGCCACGCCCCCUGUCCUGCCCCCAUAUAAA